rnacentral:rRNA from 1 species
CAGUCGCCGCGGUAAUACGGAGGGUGCAAGCGUUACUCGGAAUCACUGGGCGUAAAGGACGCGUAGGCGGAUUAUCAAGUCUCUUGUGAAAUCUAACGGCUUAACCGUUAAACUGCUUGGGAAACUGAUAAUCUAGAGUAAGGGAGAGGCAGAUGGAAUUCUUGGUGUAGGGGUAAAAUCCGUAGAUAUCAAGAAGAAUACCUAUUGCGAAGGCGAUCUGCUGGAACUUAACUGACGCUAAUGCGUGAAAGCGUGGGGAGCAAACGGGAUUAGAUACCCCUGUAGUCCCUGUCUCUUAUAC